UACUCAAAAAUUUGAUACAUUUUAUAACUCAUCAAAAUGUCAUAAGCAUAAGUGAAUUAUUAGUAUCAUCCUAUCAUUUCACAUUUAUAUUUAGAAAAUAAUACAAGCCAUUGUGAGAUGAGAUAAAGGUAACCUCUACUUAGCCCUCUUUAUCAUGAAUUUCUAUCAAGGCUAAGUGUUCCCCCUUAAGGUCUCAAGUCAACCACAACAAAUUGGAAUUAUGAUUUCCAUGGUUGACUUGACCUAAAAUCCUCUAACCCUUGAGGAUUGAUUUUGGUACCCAAUAGACAUUCUUCUUAAUUGGGUUUACCAAAUACUCCUUAGGAAUCCAUUUCCUAUCUAUGGUCUUUGUCUUGGGUUGCCCCCUAGCAAUUAGACAAUGAUAGGCUUUUUUAUUGUUAGAUUCCUUAUACCCUAAAUCCUUUUUGUUGAAACUUACCCUUUGGCUCCCAAUUAUCAUGUUUAGGGUUUUGGAUUCAAUUUCAAAUUUUCUAAGAGCAUUGGUAAAGUAUUCUACCUUUUCCCUUAAAACCUUAUUUUCGUCUACUAAACAUGAAUCAUUUGAAUUUGUAGAAGAAGCAUACUCAUCAUUGUCCUUAGAACACAUGGAUUCUAAUUUUUCUUCAAGGCAAAUAAUAUCAUUUUUCAAGGAGUUAUUUUUCCAGAAACACGUAUUAUAUCUACUCUCCCUUCUAAAGUAUUUGAAUGCACAGUUUAUGUCUACUUAUCUAAUAAAGGAUUAUCCAAAUUAGAUCCAACGGGGCUGAAGAUUGUGUUUUUAUUGGUUAUGCUUUAAACAUGAAAGGUUAUAAGUGUUUUAAUCCAAACACUAGGAAGACUAAAGUAACUAUGGAUGUUACUUUUAUUGAACAUCAACCUUAUUUCCACAAAAUUUCUCUUUUGGGGGAGAACCAAUGAGAAGAAAAUUUUUGGGAUAUUAUUCCCACUACUUUACCUCUACCAAAACCUAUUCAUUGUGAGAAUAGAAAUGAAAUUACUGUCCCUAGUUCCAUUUUGCCUAGCAUUUCUGAUUCUACCAAGGGGGAGAAGUACUAUAUGAAGUUCCAAAGGAACAUAAUACAGAGUUCCAUGCCUAUACGAGGAGAAAGGAUCAUCAAAAGAGCAGAGAGCCUACUACUCCUUUAGCACAGAAUCAAGCUAACACCUUGGGUAAUGAACCUGGAGAAGAUUUAAGUACUCUAAACACUUCUUCAAUAAAUAUUCCUAGUUGAGAUAAAUUAUCUAUUUCUGAUAAUGUUUCUAGUCCUAAUAACCCGUCUAUCGAUCUUAAUAUUCCCAUAGCUAAUCGGAAAGGAAAAUGCUUGUGUAUUGACUAUCCAAUUUCCAAAUAUUUAUCCUAUGGUAAGGUAUCAAAAAGACAACCUUUAUAUCCAAAUUAUUGACUUGUUUGUACCAAGGAACAUUCAGGAAGCAGUCAAUCAUCCAGACUAGAAAUCAGCAAUAAUGGAAGAGAUGAAUGCUCUAAAGAAAAUUGGAACAUGGGAAAUUGUAGAUCCACCUAGUGAUCAUAAAAUGGUCAGAAAAGUGGGUGUUCAUAGUAAAAUUGAGAGCAGAUGGAGAAGUAGAAAGAUAUAAAGCAAGACUUGUGGCCAAAGGAUUUACACAGACAUAUGGAUUGGACUACCAAGAGACCUUCACUCCAGUUACAAAAAUCAACUUCAUUCGUGUAUUAUUAUUUGUAGCUGCCAAUGUAACUGGCCCUUAUAUUAGUUAGAGGUCAAGAACACCUUUCUAAAUGGAGUGUUAGAAGAGGUGUUUAUGAACUUGUCACCAAGAUUCGAAGUGUCUCGGCCGCGGAAAAGUUUGCAAACUAAGAAAGUCUUGAUUUGGCGUUAAACAAUCUUUAAGAGUCUGGUUCGAAUGUUUUACGAAAGUUGUAAAAAGCUAUGGAUCCUUUCAAAGCCAAGUUGACCAUACAAUGUUCUAUAAAACCUCUGAUAAAGGUAAAAUUUCCAUCUUUGUUGUCUAUGUGGAUGACAUUAUCUUAACAAGAGAUGAUAUUGAAGAAUUGACACAUCUGAAGAGAAAGAUGGCACGAGAUUUUGAAAUUAAAGACCUAGGACCACUAUAGUAUUUUCUAGGUAUGGAAUUGGCAAGGACUCAAGAAGGAAUAUUUAUGAACCAAAGAAAAUACAUUUUAAAUCUACUCAAAGAGACGGGGUUUCUAGGAUGCAAAGUUGUUGAAACUCCAAUUGAAGAUAAUCUAAAACUUAAUCCUGCUAAACCUGAAGAUGUGAUUGAAAGAGCAAAUUUCAAAGGCUGGUAGGGAAAUUAAUCUACCUAUCACAUACUCAUCCUGACAUAGCAUUUGUAGUAGGCAUAGUAAGCCAAUUUAUGCAUUCACUAGGACGGGAACCCUUUGAUGCUAUAUACAAAAUAUUAAGGUAUCUCAAAGGAACCCCUAGGAAAGGUUUGAUGUUUAGAAAGCACGACAACCUACAACUAGAAGUCUAUACUGAUGCGGAUUGGGCUAGUAGUACUACUGUCAGACAAUCAACUUCAGGCUAUUGUACAUUCUUUGGGGGGAACCUUGUUAUAUGGCGAAGUAAAAAACAAAGUGUUGUCGCUCGAAGUAGUGCGGAGGCAGAAUGUAAAUCUCUUGCACAUGGAAUUUGUGAGGCAAUUUGGAUAAAGAGAUUACUAGAUGACUUGAAGAUAUCGUUUGCGUUACCAAUGAAAGUUUAUUGUGAUAACAAAGCAGAUAUUUCAAUUCCUCAUAGUCCCGUUUUACAUGAUAGAACGAAGUAUGUUGAAGUUGACAAACACUUCAUCAAGGAGAAAUUGAGUGUGGCUUAAUCUGUGUUUCAUAUGUACCAACCACUCAAUAGGUAGCUGAUAUACUCACCAAAGGAUUGCACAAAGAGUAGUUUGAGGCUCUAGUAAAUAGGCUAGCUAUGGAAGACAUCUACAAGCCAACUUGAGGGAGAGUGUCGAAAGAUAUGAUAUUAUAUACAAAAUACAUCACAAUAUUCUAUUAAUUGUAUGUAUCAUUUUAAUUGAUUAUUGAUUGAUUUAGUUUCCUAGAAUAGCUCCAUUGAUUUAGUUUCUUAGAAUAGCUCCACUGUAUUGACAUAUAAUUUGUACAUUGUAUUCUUUUGUCUAUCAUUGAGAAUAAAUUCUCUCGCACCUUCCAAUCUUCUUACUUCAUGUUGGGACAGUGAGUGUCGGCGGAUUGGCAACAAUUGACCCACUUUUGCAGUGGUAGGAAAGCUGCUUUCCUCAUUUGGAUCAAGCAAAUAUUUGUUUAGGGCAGUAGAUGCAUCAAAGAUUGCUCGGUGUUUUGACAACAAAACAGUCUUCGAAGAGGUGGCAAACAAACGAUUAAUAGUUGGUCGUCACAUCGGCAAAACGACAAGAUUCAAGGAUAAAAGACACUAUAAAAGGUGCUCCAGGAGCUGCGAAAUGGAAAAUCUAUUAAGUGAUAUCACAUACACUGCCUCCAACAAAGCUUCCAUUCUUCUUAUUUUCUUCUCAUUUAUACUUGUUGUAACUGCAUUUGUAAGAAGUUUCUCCAAAUCCGAUACUGACGAGAAGGAGAAAAUAUAGUGUUCUCAAGAGUGAUCCACUAGACAGAUCAUAGGUUGUGGAGUAGAAGUCUAGGCUGUCCAACCACGUUAAAUUACGGAGACUAGUUCGAUUGUUUUUAAGUUCUUUAUUUACUUUCCGUUGCAUGUAUACUUUUAGAAUACUCGCAAGAAUUAGUAUUUAGCCCCCUACCAUCAACAAUACGAUCUAAUAUGUGGAAUCAAAGUAAGCACGCUCUAAAAGAGUUUUCGAGCAAAAGGGAGCUAUAGGAUCUGCAAAUUUGAAACCAACACUUGGUACAAUGGCUAGAGAUACAACAAUUGGAGAUAGAGGGCAAUUUUAGUUAUUGGAAAAGGAGGCUUUCUUCUUCAAAUUCGACAUCAACAUGGCGAAAGGCAUAGAAGAAGGUAUGAGUUUCAAAUUAAUGAUAAUAACAACAUGUUACCUCUUUCCAAGUUGACGAAGAAACAAAAGGAAGAGGUGGUCGCAAAAUGAAUGCAAAAUUCGUGCUGGAAUAAGUAUUAUCCAAGCAGGAGAUGAACAGAAAGUACACGACUUCCAAGGAGCUAUGGGAAAGAAUCAUGACCUUAAGAGAGGAAGCUUGCACGAGUAAACCUCCUAUGCACAAAACUUAACUCAUUCACAAUGCUAAAGGGAGAACAAGAUUGUUCAUGAAUUGAUAGCUAUAUCACAGUACUGGAGCUUAGCCGUCAACAACUAUCCCCCGCACAGGAUAUACUUUAGAUGAGUUAUUUUCAAAAUUAGCAAGCAUACACUCAAUAUUAACUAGCACUAGUUAGUAAAGAAAAGGAAAAGAAAUGGAAAGCACAUCCUUAAAUUCCAAGGAAUAUACCUUGGAGGAGGAUAGCGAGCGUGAAGGAUGCGUGGUAAGCUAAGGAGUGAAUUCAAAAAUAAACUAAAAUUGAAGAAGAAUCAUCAAAAGAGGAACCUGAAGGCCCACAUGGGAUGAAAUAAGCUCCUCAUUAGAGGAUAUUGAGGUUAACAACAUAAUUCUAUUGGUGCUUCUAGCAAUUUUGACUAGUGUGGUACCUUGUGAUAAAUUGCAUGACAUUAGGAUUGAAGAAUUAAAUUAGAAACUAAAAAAAAAAAAAAAAGGACACCCCGGUACACGAAGCUCCCGCCAUGCGGGGUCUCGAGGAAAAAUGGCAUCAGAACAAAUUACCAUUGGUCCACCAAUUGUUUAACAUGUUAACAAGUUGUCAAAGGGUGAACUUAAGCAAAAACAAUUUGGGCUAUAAGUGACUCAAGAAAGAAAAAUCCUAUUUUAGCCUAAUAGCGAGAGAACGAGGAAAAAUGAAACUUGUAGCUAAGACAUGGGUGCUGAACCAAUACUUAGUUGACCCACUUUGUUUUCGCUACCAAAAUCAUUUACUUAAUUAUUAAAAGAUCUUUAGGGUCAACCAUAAUAGACUACUAGGGAUGUCAAUUCUAGUGGGUCGGGUGGGUUUAGGUCAGGUUGAAACAAAGAUUUUAUAAAAAAAAUCCCAACCGGAAUCCGACUUGAACCCAGAUAACCGGAUCAACCCGAUUAAAAAUGACUUUUUUGUUAGUGCAAGAAGCACCAAAUAAUCGAACCUGCUUUUGAUAUUGAUAAAAGUUCAAAAUUAAGUUGGGUUGUGAUAUAAAAAGAUUGACUAAGUAUGCAGGUAGCACUAUCAAGAAAGACCUAGUAGGUCAAGUCCGGAUACUGGACAAGUGGAAGCCCUAGGUCAGUUGGACUAAAUAUUAGGCAGAAGACUUGGUAAAUCGAGGACACCAGGUGGAAAGUCUAAACGAGUCAGUGGAUCAGACAUCUAGCUGGUCGAUGGGUCAGCGAGGACCGAACAUUGAAGGAAGUCCUAGGGUUAGAGGAUUGGAUGCUAAUCAGGAAGUCCAAACACGUCUGGAGCAUUAGAUGUUUCGCAAGUCUAGUAAACUCUCUUGAGUGGAGAGAUUCUUCCGAAAAGGAAGAAUGGUGAGAAUGGAUUCCUCUUGGGGGAACAGUAGGAGUUGAUCCAACCGAAGGAUUUCACUGGAAAUCCUAAGUCGAGAUCGAAACAGGUGUAAUUGUCCAUUUGCUAAUACUAUUGUUAUUGUGCUAAUAUUGUGAUGCAGGGAAUUGAUUUUGGAGGUUGGUCAGAAAUAGUGCACUCCGGAAGCCCGAAUAAUUCAAAGAGAUAGAAGAUCCUGGCACUGAUGCAGGGAAUUGAUUUUGGAGGUUGGCUGAAAACAGUGCACUCUAGUCGCCCGAAUAAUUCAUCCAGGCACCCGGAUGGCCCGAAACUUAGCCCCACAACCAGAUGAGGUGGCACACUCUGAUUGGGUGGCACGCAUCAGCAACUAGGCACUCGGAAGAAAUCCAGGCGCUCGGAAGAGGAUAAAGUCGUCAUAUAGAGCUUCAUCCGAAUCGCGCUAUGUCAACAGUCUAGGAACCUGGAAGGGAUCCAAGCGUCCAGAGGAGGAUAAUCUGCAACGUAGUUAGAUCGGAUGAGACUCAGUUGGGGUGCUCAAGGUUGAUCCAAGCGUUCUCAGAAUGGUCAAUAAAAGAAGAACUGCUUAGCAGCAUUCGACAACUCUUCUGUCAAGUUCUCCACACUCCAGAAACAUCGUUACGACGCCAAAAUGCUGCCCCGACAUUGAUACUCUAAUUCAGAUCUCAUUUCGUUAUCGACAUCAUAUUUUUUGUUCAUCUUUUUCAUGCUUGAUUUUUAAAGAACGGUAAACUUGUUACCAUUCCUCAUCUUUGUAAAAAGACAAAUCUCCGAGUCGUUAUUCGGAGGAGAUUUUUAGUGGAUUGUCCAUCAGACGCGAUCAACGACUCAUGCCUUGGUCUAGCCGCAUAGGCAGUGAACCAAGUAAAAACGAAGUGUGUUAAUGCUAUGUUUUGUUUUUAUUUCCGUUGUUAACUCUAAAAUGAGAGAAACAAGUUUUUGAAAAAGUAAAAAAGAAACCCACGC